rnacentral:rRNA from 1 species
AUUGAACGCUGGCGGCAGGCUUAACACAUGCAAGUCGAGCGGAGAUGAGGUGCUUGCACCUUAUCUUAGCGGCGGACGGGUGAGUAAUGCUUAGGAAUCUGCCUAUUAGUGGGGGACAACAUUCCGAAAGGAAUGCUAAUACCGCAUACGUCCUACGGGAGAAAGCAGGGGAUCUUCGGACCUUGCGCUAAUAGAUGAGCCUAAGUCGGAUUAGCUAGUUGGUGGGGUAAAGGCCUACCAAGGCGAAGAUCUGUAGCGGGUCUGAGAGGAUGAUCCGCCACACUGGGACUGAGACACGGCCCAGACUCCUACGGGAGGCAGCAGUGGGGAAUAUUGGACAAUGGGCGGAAGCCUGAUCCAGCCAUGCCGCGUGUGUGAAGAAGGCCUUUUGGUUGUAAAGCACUUUAAGCGAGGAGGAGGCUACCUAGAUUAAUACUCUGGGAUAGUGGACGUUACUCGCAGAAUAAGCACCGGCUAACUCUGUGCCAGCAGCCGCCGUAAAAC